rnacentral:lncRNA from 1 species
GGAACCUGAGACUCAGAAAGGCUAAGCAACUUGGUUAAGACCACACAGCUUGGAUUUUCAUCCUGUAUUAUCUGACCUCAGAGUCCUUCUUGACCACUUGUGCUAAUCAUUAACAUUUGUACACUACUCAGGGCAGGUCUAAGUUUGGGGGGGGGACCUAAACUUGUACAAUUUGGCACCCUCCCUAAGGAAAAGAAAAAGGAGUUCUGGAGUACAGAAUUCGAUUGAGAACCUGGAGGGGGACUUGAACAUUAUAGUGUAUGAAUUGUUUCAUGUGAAGACUCAUUUCAUCCUCCUGUCCUCCCUGCAAGUCUCCAGGAGCCCUGAACUACACUGCUUGCUCCCUCACUUCUCACAGGAAGAUCGGAGUGCAGAUGGGCUGUGCACAGGCAGCUGGAGAAGAAACAUGGAGCAGAAUCGGCGUGCCUUGUGGAUUGAGUGCAGGCUCUCUUCGGCCCUCUCACCUUCAUCAAGUUACUUUCUUCCUCCAAAACUCGAUUUCUCCAUCUGUGCAAUGAAAGGGCUGGAUGUGAGUUCUCAUUAUUCCCUAGCUGGCAUCCCGUGUGUCCCAGGGCUCUGAAGAUUUGUUGAACUAAGUGGACCAAAUCUUUGCUAUUGAAUUAAGACUCAGGUCUCUAUCUCUGAUCCGCAAAUGCAAAUUACUGAGGAGGGAAGGAGGAGCAGUGAAGCAUGAAUGGGUUUAUCAGAUUUCCUUUCUCCUGUGACCUAGAUACCACAGGGCAGGCGCCCAGUCCCUAGCUCAGAAUCCGUCAGCCUCAAACAUUCACUGACACCCUACUACAUACAGGCACAGAGCUGAGGACCCCCAGGGGUGUCCAAGAUGAAGUGGGACAUUUUUCAGGGGAGGCCGAGCUCUCAUCUUGACCCCACAUUCGGAGAGCUCUCACAUGUAAACAACCUAAACAUGCACCGUGUUGUAUCUUAGGGCUGGUGCUUGUGGGGCAACGGGAGGGGGGCGCAGUGGGGGUGACACGCAGUCAUUCUCGAAUCUUCCAGCCUUUACAAUGACUUCUAG